rnacentral:tRNA from 1 species
GCCUUCGUGGUGUAGUGGUCAGCACGCUCGACGCAAACUCGAGAGGUCCGUGGUUCGAGUCCCGGCGAGGGUA